GAGCGAAUGGAUUGAGAGCUUGCUCUCGUAGAAGUUAGCGGCGGACGGGUGAGUAACACGUGGGUAACCUGCCCAUAAGACUGGGAUAACUCCGGGAAACCGGGGCUAAUACCGGAUAAUAUUUUGAACUGCAUGGUUCGAAAUUGAAAGGCGGCUUCGGCUGUCACUUAUGGAUGGACCCGCGUCGCAUUAGCUAGUUGGUGAGGUAACGGCUCACCAAGGCAACGAUGCGUAGCCGACCUGAGAGGGUGAUCGGCCACACUGGGACUGAGACACGGCCCAGACUCCUACGGGAGGCAGCAGUAGGGAAUCUUCCGCAAUGGACGAAAGUCUGACGGAGCAACGCCGCGUGAGUGAUGAAGGCUUUCGGGUCGUAAAACUCUGUUGUUAGGGAAGAACAAGUGCUAGUUGAAUAAGCUGGCACCUUGACGGUACCUAACCAGAAAGCCACGGCUAACUACGUGCCAGCAGCCGCGGUAAU
rnacentral:rRNA from 1 species